rnacentral:SRP_RNA from 2 species
GCCGGGCAUGGCGGUGGAUGCCUGUAAUCCCAGCUACUUAGGAGGCUGAGGCAGGAGAAUUGCUUGAACCUGGGAGGUUGAAGUUGCAGUGAGCUGAGAUUGUGCCAUUGCACUCCAGCCUGGGCAACAGAGCAAGACUCCGUCUCAU